GCGAAAGUAGCUCAAUGGUAGAGUGUAGCCUUGCCAAGGCUAAAGCUGAGGGUUCGAUUCCCUUUUUUCGCU
rfam:Ostreococcus tauri mitochondrion, complete genome.